rnacentral:rRNA from 1 species
UACGUAGGGCGCAAGCGUUGUCCGGAAUUAUUUGGGCGUAAAGAGCUCGUAGGCGGUUUGUCGCGUCUGCCGUGAAAGUCCGGGGCUCAACUCCGGAUCUGCGGUGGGUACGGGCAGACUAGAGUGCGGUAGGGGAGACUGGAAUUCCUGGUGUAGCGGUGGAAUGCGCAGAUAUCAGGAGGAACACCGAUGGCGAAGGCAGGUCUCUGGGCCGCAACUGACGCUGAGGAGCGAAAGCAUGGGGAGCGAACAGG